AGAGUUUGAUCAUGGCUCAGAUUGAACGCUGGCGGCAGGCCUAACACAUGCAAGUCGAGCGGUAGCACAGAGAGCUUGCUCUCGGGUGACGAGCGGCGGACGGGUGAGUAAUGUCUGGGAAACUGCCUGAUGGAGGGGGAUAACUACUGGAAACGGUAGCUAAUACCGCAUAAUGUCGCAAGACCAAAGUGGGGGACCUUCGGGCCUCAUGCCAUCAGAUGUGCCCAGAUGGGAUUAGCUAGUAGGUGGGGUAACGGCUCACCUAGGCGACGAUCCCUAGCUGGUCUGAGAGGAUGACCAGCCACACUGGAACUGAGACACGGUCCAGACUCCUACGGGAGGCAGCAGUGGGGAAUAUUGCACAAUGGGCGCAAGCCUGAUGCAGCCAUGCCGCGUGUGUGAAGAAGGCCUUCGGGUUGUAAAGCACUUUCAGCGGGGAGGAAGGCGAUAAGGUUAAUAACCUCAUCGAUUGACGUUACCCGCAGAAGAAGCACCGGCUAACUCCGUGCCAGCAGCCGCGGUAAUACGGAGGGUGCAAGCGUUAAUCGGAAUUACUGGGCGUAAAGCGCACGCAGGCGGUCUGUCAAGUCGGAUGUGAAAUCCCCGGGCUCAACCUGGGAACUGCAUUCGAAACUGGCAGGCUAGAGUCUUGUAGAGGGGGGUAGAAUUCCAGGUGUAGCGGUGAAAUGCGUAGAGAUCUGGAGGAAUACCGGUGGCGAAGGCGGCCCCCUGGACAAAGACUGACGCUCAGGUGCGAAAGCGUGGGGAGCAAACAGGAUUAGAUACCCUGGUAGUCCACGCCGUAAACAAUGUCGAUUUGGAGGUUGUGCCCUUGAGGCGUGGCUUCCGGAGCUAACGCGUUAAAUCGACCGCCUGGGGAGUACGGCCGCAAGGUUAAAACUCAAAUGAAUUGACGGGGGCCCGCACAAGCGGUGGAGCAUGUGGUUUAAUUCGAUGCAACGCGAAGAACCUUACCUGGUCUUGACAUCCACAGAACUUUCCAGAGAUGGAUUGGUGCCUUCGGGAACUGUGAGACAGGUGCUGCAUGGCUGUCGUCAGCUCGUGUUGUGAAAUGUUGGGUUAAGUCCCGCAACGAGCGCAACCCUUAUCCUUUGUUGCCAGCGGUUCGGCCGGGAACUCAAAGGAGACUGCCAGUGAUAAACUGGAGGAAGGUGGGGAUGACGUCAAGUCAUCAUGGCCCUUACGACCAGGGCUACACACGUGCUACAAUGGCAUAUACAAAGAGAAGCGACCUCGCGAGAGCAAGCGGACCUCAUAAAGUAUGUCGUAGUCCGGAUUGGAGUCUGCAACUCGACUCCAUGAAGUCGGAAUCGCUAGUAAUCGUAGAUCAGAAUGCUACGGUGAAUACGUUCCCGGGCCUUGUACACACCGCCCGUCACACCAUGGGAGUGGGUUGCAAAAGAAGUAGGUAGCUUAACCUUCGGGAGGGCGCUUACCACUUUGUGAUUCAUGACUGGGGUGAAGUCGUAACAAGGUAACCGUAGGGGAACCUGCGGUUGGAUCACCU
rnacentral:rRNA from 1 species